AAGAAGUUAGCCUAAAUAAAGACCAUUAAUUUCGACUUAAUAAAUUGUGAUUUACCCCACAACUUCUUU
rnacentral:tRNA from 1 species